AGUGAACGCUGGCGGUAGGCCUAACACAUGCAAGUCGAACGGCAGCACAGUAAGAGCUUGCUCUUACGGGUGGCGAGUGGCGGACGGGUGAGGAAUACAUCGGAAUCUACUUUUUCGUGGGGGAUAACGUAGGGAAACUUACGCUAAUACCGCAUACGACCUACGGGUGAAAGCAGGGGAUCUUCGGACCUUGCGCGAUUGAAUGAGCCGAUGUCGGAUUAGCUAGUUGGCGGGGUAAAGGCCCACCAAGGCGACGAUCCGUAGCUGGUCUGAGAGGAUGAUCAGCGACACUGGAGCUGAGACAGGGACCAGACUCCUACGGGAGGCAGCAGUGGGGAAUAUUGGACAAUGGGCGCAAGCCUGAUCCAGCCAUACCGCGUGGGUGAAGAAGGCCUUCGGGUUGUAAAGCCCUUUUGUUGGGAAAGAAAAGCAGCAGGUUAAUACCCCGCUGUUCUGACGGUACCCAAAGAAUAAGCACCGGCUAACUUCGUG
rnacentral:rRNA from 1 species